rnacentral:rRNA from 1 species
UACGAAGGGUGCAAGCGUUACUCGGAAUUACUGGGCGUAAAGCGUGCGUAGGUGGUUUGUUAAGUCUGAUGUGAAAGCCCUGGGCUCAACCUGGGAAUUGCAUUGGAUACUGGCAGGCUAGAGUGCGGUAGAGGGUAGUGGAAUUCCCGGUGUAGCAGUGAAAUGCGUAGAGAUCGGGAGGAACAUCCGUGGCGAAGGCGGCUCACUGGCCCGGUACUGACGCUGAGGUGCGAAAGCGUGGGGAGCAAACAGG